ACGGACCGGAGCUCGUGUGUC
rnacentral:miRNA from 1 species